rnacentral:rRNA from 1 species
AGUAGUGUGAACAUGGAGGCAAAUCCACAUGUUUAAACAUGAGAUCUUAUGGGUAAGUAGCUUAGGCUAUAAAUCACAAAUCCUAUACUGCCGAGAAAAACUUCUAUUGAGAUUAUGUAGUGCCCGUACUGUAAACCGACACAGGUGGACUGGGUGAGUAACCCGAGGCCGACAGGAUACCUCUAGCUAAGGAACUCUGCAAAAUGGCCCCGUAACUUCGGGAGAAGGGGUACCUAUGUUAUGUGAUAAGAUAAACACUUUGAGCAGAAAUAGGUCGCAGUGAAGAGUCCCAAGCAACUGUUUACCAAAAACACAGGUCUAUGCUAAGCUGAAAGGCGACGUAUAUGGGCUGACACCUGCCCAGUGCUGGAAGGUUAAGAGGAGGAUUGAGAGAUUCGAAUUGAAGCCCCAGUGAACGGCGGCCGUAACAAUAACGGUCCUAAGGUAGCGAAAUUCCUUGUCGGGUAAGUUCCGACCUGCACGAAUGGUGAAAUGAUUUGGGAGCUGUCUUGGCUGGAGACCUGGUGAAGUUGUAAUGUCGGUGAAGAUACCGAUUACCUGCAGUAGGACGGAAAGACCCCGUGGAGCUUUACUGUAGCUUGGCAUUGGGUUUUGGCAAUGUGUGUAUAGGAUAGUUGGGAGACUAUGAUACUAGGGCGCAAGUUUUAGUGGAGUCAAUGGUGGAAUACCAACCAUAUAUUGUCGGAAUUCUAAUCAUUGGUUUGUAGCCAAUGAGACAGUGCUAGGUGGGCAGUUUGACUGGGGCGGUCGCCUCCUAAAGAGUAACGGAGGCGUUCAAAGGUUCCCUCAGGUUGGAUGGAAAUAAACCGAAGAGUGCAAAGGCAUAAGGGAGCUUGACUGCGAGACUGACGGGUCGAGCAGGCGCGAAAGCGGGACUUAGUGAUCCGGUGGUGCUGUAUGGAAAGGCCAUCGCUCAACGGAUAAAAGCUACCCUGGGGAUAACAGGCUGAUACUUCCCAAGAGUCCAUAUCGACGGAAGUGUUUGGCACCUCGAUGUCGGCUCGUCUCAUCCUGGGGCUGGAGAAGGUCCCAAGGGUUGGGCUGUUCGCCCAUUAAAGAGGCACGCGAGCUGGGUUCAGAACGUCGUGAGACAGUUCGGUCCCUAUCCACUGCAGGCGUUAGAAUAUUGAGAAGAUCUGUCCUUAGUACGAGAGGACCGGGAUGGACAAACCUCUGAUGUACCAGUUGUCACGCCAGUGGCAUCGCUGGGUAGUCACGUUUGGAAUGGAUAAUCGCUGAAAGCAUCUAAGUGAGAAGCCAACUUCAAGAUGAGUAUUCUUUUUAAGUCUCCUUCGAGACCAGGAGGUUGAUAGGCUGGGGGUGUAAGUGCAGCAAUGUAUUUAGCUGACCAGUACUAAUAUGACGUUAGCUUU